rnacentral:rRNA from 1 species
GAUGAACGCUGGCGGCGUGCCUAAUACAUGCAAGUCGAGCGAACGGACGAGAAGCUUGCUUCUCUGAUGUUAGCGGCGGACGGGUGAGUAACACGUGGAUAACCUACCUAUAAGACUGGGAUAACUUCGGGAAACCGGAGCUAAUACCGGAUGAUAUUUUGAACCGCAUGGUUCAAAAGUGAAAGACGGUCUUGCUGUCACUUAUAGAUGGAUCCGCGCUGCAUUAGCUAGUUGGUAAGGUAACGGCUUACCAAGGCAACGAUGCAUAGCCGACCUGAGAGGGUGAUCGGCCACACUGGAACUGAGACACGGUCCAGACUCCUCCGGGAGGCAGCAGUAGGGAAUCUUCCGCAAUGGGCGAAAGCCUGACGGAGCAACGCAGCGUGAGUGAUGAAGGUCUUCGGAUAGUAAAACUCUGUUAUUAGGGAAGAACAUAUGUGUAAGUAACUGUGCACAUCUUGACGGUACCUAAUCAGAAAGCCACGGCUAACUACGUA